UACGUAGGGGGCAAGCGUUGUCCGGAUUUAUUGGGCGUAAAGAGCGUGUAGGCGGCUAGGUAGGUCCGUUGUGAAAACUCGAGGCUCAACCUCGAGACGUCGAUGGAAACCAUCUAGCUAGAGUCCGGAAGAGGAGAGUGGAAUUCCUGGUGUAGCGGUGAAAUGCGCAGAUAUCAGGAGGAACACCGGUGGCGAAGGCGGCGACCUGGGCCAAUAUUGACGCUGAGGUGCGAAAGCGUGGGGAGCAAACAGG
rnacentral:rRNA from 1 species